AGCGGGAGCGCCGCGGCCUGCGCGUCCUCGCUGUCCUCGCCGUGCGCGGCCCAGAGCGGCUGCUGGUCGCGGUUGAGUUGGCCGGCCGCGGUUCAGACAGACCGAGUACAAACUUCCGUCAAAGAGCCUUCCCAGAACAAACUUAAAACUGUGAAUGUCGUUUCCAGAGCCAGCCCAAUGGAUUUGAUGGAAAUUGAUUCAUUUUGUGAAGUGGCCACAGACAAACGGUUCUAGGUUUUGGGCUGUGUUCCGAGAAGCCAAAAGUGUCUGCAGCUGCUUGAAGAGAAGCCGGUGCUCCUUGUGAUACCAACCUCUGGCAACCAAGUGUCCGUGACACAACCCGAACAAAAAUCAUCCCUGCGACGCAGCACACACUUGAGUUUCCUCUAGCCAGGCAUCUGGGUAAAUUCCUAGCUUGUGUUUGCACUUGAGGCAGAAAUACUAAGCUGGCGUUGUGAAGGUGGUCCAGCCCCUUUCGGGAUACUUCCUCUAUAAAAGCCAUUCAUUAAACACUUACUGAGCCCCCAAGACAAAGAACGCUUAGACAGAACUGAUGACUGACCCUUCUAGACUCUGUCCCUUGGUGUGAUGUAAGGCUGUGACUGUUGGUCAACCCUACUUGAAAAUAAGCAGAAAGAGAAAACAAGCUGUGAGGCUAGGGUGUGGUCGCCUUUGGACUCCACAUCGAUUGCCCUCAGGAAGAAUCCCUUCCCAGCGGAAAGGGAACACUGAGCCGUGCUUUGGAAAACAGUGGAUCCUGGCUCUUGGAGAAGGCAUUAAAAAUAUUUCUGUGUGACAACAUGCAAAUCCAGACAAAAGUCAGCAUCAGCUUUUCAUUUAGCAGUUCAUCGAGUAGGCUAUUUAUGGACUGGGGCUUCUGAUUUGCAAUACAUCAUCUCAGGGUUCAGUGUUAUCUUUUGAUUUCUUUCCAGCUGAACAGGCUGAGUCGUGUGAAUACCUCUGUCAGCCUACGCGGUUGGCUAUUCUCACACGAGAAGUAAUCUAAGAGCCCACUGAGCACGUCUUCGGAUAGCACUCUGGAAGCUGGCAGCUGAUGUGCUUUGCCAGCAAGGGGGGCGGGGAAGGUGGCGGCAGGCGAUGGCCAUGGCGGUGGUUGUGGCUUGGGUCCCUUUGGUUAUGUCAGGACACCCUUCGUGCUUGGAGUCCCGUGUCCUCCAGGCCUUGGUUGUUUGCCCUGCCAAGGAAGGAUGUUUCAAUGGCUACGCAGAAUGUGGACGGAGAAGUGGAGACCAUCCGUGAUGUUCAGAGGACAGAAAGAAAUUUCAAUUCUCGGACAUACAGAAAUAUCCCGGCAGGACACAGCUUCAGUGACACCCAGAAGAUGUCUGCAUCAGCAUGGGUUUUGUUUAAAAUGCAUUUUAUUUCGCGGACUCCUCUCAUGUGGAUGAGCGAUGACCAAAUCACCACAUUCUCUACACAGAGGCCCAAGUGUUUUCCAUACCCUUGCUUGGGACUGUAUUCCAUCUCUCUUUUGUUUAUAUUAAAGCUUUUCAUAAUCUAUCUUCCAAUCUGCUCCUAUUUUGAAUUUAUGAUUAUAGAAUUGGAGUUAGGAGAGAAAAAAACAAGAACCAUAUUGUUUUUCUUUAAAUUACAAAAAAAGAAAGAGAAACAAAUAACCAUUUUUUAAAAUAAAAAACAGAAAAGUUGAUAAGUAUGAAAUGUAUACGUCUCUGCUGGGAUUUUCCAAUAAUUUUGAUGCCGGCCUGUGUCAUUCCCAUAUGGAAAUCUGAAAUCAUAUGGCUCGGUGAUUAUUAUGUCAAUUUGGGAAAAAAGAAAGUGCCUUAAUUUCUGGUUUUGAAGGAAUCAUCCACUCAGAAUAUCUAUCCUUUCACUGUAGAUGGUACCAGGAGGUAAAACCUGACCGACGAAGGCAGUGAAUGCCUAGCACACCCUCUUCGCAUUCACAUUUUCUUUGAGCCACAAACCAGUCCUGUUCUCCCUGUUUCUCUCUGUGUUCCUGAGUUUCCAGGCCCCCUUCUCAGGCUGUCAGUCGCAGGGACAUCUUCCACCAGCUCCGGAACAGUGAAAAACGGUGGCCGCUUUGAGCCAGUUUGUCUGGGGUGGUUUGUCACCUAAGAAAAGUGAACUAAUAGAGCCAUGAUGAUUCUAUUCUCAGCUUGUUUUUAAUAAUCUCACCGCACAGCAGCUUUAUCCCAAGCUUGUUCUCUUGAAUGAAAAUCUCCAAAGAUGUUAAUUGGCAUUCUUUUUAGUGAAAUAAUUUUGCAUAUGUACCCCCCAUGCAUAUUUAUUUAAACUAUACAGCUGUACUGUGGUUGAUACAUAUUUCUAUAGUAUCUAUGAUGCUUGGUUUCUUUUUUUAAGAUAAAAAGUUAAUACAGGGAUUGUAAUUUUUUUUUGUUUCCUCAUUUCAAUAGGUCCUCAUCUGUACCUUCUGGGUUAUAUUCAUUCCACUCGGGGCCUGUUCUGAAAUGCCAAAAUCUUUCCCAUAAUCACCUCUGAAGCAUCUUUCCACACAUGCUCCAUUUGUGCAAUUUGUUUUUAAAACUAAACUUAGAGCUUGAUUUAUUAUAAUUGCUGAUUACUGCAGAGUCCUGUAGGGAAUGGAUCUUUUCUAUCGACCGACCUUAAAUAAGUCCCCUUUGGUAAAAAGUAUCAUUCCUGUCUCUAGCAAACAGAUGCACCUGCAAUAUGUACUGGCUUGUGGUGCCUUUGGCAUCGCCAUUUCUUCUUGCUAUAUUUAACCCUUUUGUGUGUUUGUAAAUAUCCUGUGUCUUUUCCUUCUUUAAUACUGAUUUUAGAAAGGAGUGUUAUGGUUGAGGAUACGGGAUACCUGUUUGAUGUCAGGAGGUUCUGAAAUACCUCACUUAGCGGUAGCUGUACUUUUGGUAUCUGGGGAUUAAGUCUGCAGAGUGAGAAACCCAGAGUUGUUUCUAAACAGAUGAGCAUUCAUCAGUCGCAGUGCAGUCUGGUUGAUGUUAAUGUUACCCGCUGCCCGUGGGGCAGAGCCAUCCCAUUCUUCAGCGCUCAGUCGAUGCCUAGGCCCCAUGGCCCGGGCCGGGGUCAGCCUGGUGGUUAGAGAACCACUGCAGGGCUGACUGCAGCAGGCGUGGCCCAGGGACAC